rnacentral:rRNA from 1 species
UACGGAGGGGGCUAGCGUUGUUCGGAAUUACUGGGCGUAAAGCGCGCGUAGGCGGCUUUGUAAGUUAGAGGUGAAAGCCCGGAGCUCAACUCCGGAACUGCCUUUAAGACUGCAUCGCUUGAAUCCGGGAGAGGUGAGUGGAAUUCCGAGUGUAGAGGUGAAAUUCGUAGAUAUUCGGAAGAACACCAGUGGCGAAGGCGGCUCACUGGACCGGUAUUGACGCUGAGGUGCGAAAGCGUGGGGAGCAAACAGG